rnacentral:rRNA from 1 species
AAUAUAGAAGAUAUUAUGUUAAAACUAGUAACAAGAAGAAGAACUUCUCCUACAAUGCAAGUGUAAAUCAGACAGGACACCCCACUGAUAAUUAACACCAAUGAACAUAAAAUAGCAACCCAACAAGAAAACCCUACUACACCAUAUGUUAAACUGACACCAGAGCAUUUCAAGAAAGAUUUAAAGAAAAAGAAGGAACUCGGCAAACAUUAACCUCGCCUGUUUACCAAAAACAUCGCCUCUUGAAUAAGUAUAAGAGGUCCAGCCUGCCCAGUGACAAUGUUCAACGGCCGCGGUAUCCUAACCGUGCGAAGGUAGCGUAAUCACUUGUUCUUUAAAUAAGGACUGGUAUGAACGGCACCACGAAGGUUAUACUGUCUCCUCUUUCUAAUCAGUGAAACUAAUCUCCCCGUGAAGAAGCGGGGAUAAGAAUAUAAGACGAGAAGACCCUAUGGAGCUUUAAACUACAAGGCACUUGCCCCACAUAACCGAAUUCCAGAAAAUCACUACCACCCAGGCAAUAUUGACCCUUAGUUUUAGGUUGGGGUGACCGCGGAGCAAAAAAGAACCUCCACAUUGAAAGGAGAACACUCCUUAGCCAAGAGCCACACCUCUAAGCACCAACAAAAAGACAUUAAUUGACCCAAUAUUUUGAUCAACGAACCAAGUUACCCUAGGGAUAACAGCGCAAUCCACUUCAAGAGCUCCUAUCGACAAGUGGGUUUACGACCUCGAUGUUGGAUCAGGGUACCCCGGUGGUGCAGCCGCUACCAAAGGUUCGUUU